AGUACGUGCGUGAGCGAGUGAGCGGAAAGGAGAGCGCGCGGACGACGCGCCCGGGACGCGCGGCUGCACCGGGAAGCCCAGGCCAAGCGGUUUUGAGAGAUUGCUACAAUUUGGACUCACAAGCAAGAUUUACUGCAAACUUUGAGAUGGAGUAGGUCAUAUGUCAUUAGUGUGGACGCUGCUGUCUUAAGUCUGUGGCCAUGGCACCAGAACACAGUAAGUAGCAAUGUUGCAAACUUUGGCUUUCUGGGUUUGAAUAUCUUCCUGGGGAUGGAGCCCCCAGAUGCAUUCAGGCAAAUGGACAUUCACUUAGUUAAACCCCAAUAUGUAUGUUUUGAGUUUCUAAUUGCAGAGAAAGAAAUAUAAAACCAAGAAAAACAACUUAGUUUCCUCUUUUCACAGGGCAUUCACUUUAUUUCCUGGGGUUUAAUUUUUUUACUUUCACAUACAAAAACAUGGUGAUAGUCAUGACCUGCAUGUUCCUGUACACCCAGUGUUUGCCUGUAGUGGCCAGCAGAAUGGGCAGCAUGGCUGAACUGUGUCACUUAUGCUGUCUAUUCUUUGUGUUCGGGAUCAGGGAGGCUGAGCACAGCUGAAGGGUGGACCUGCUGAGCUGUGGUCUCAAGCUGCCUGUCCACAACUGGCUUGCCAACUUUGGCUCCUUCAUCAACUCUGAGGCAAUGCCUAGCCAGGGGGAUGGUCUCAGAAACAGCCCUAGUUCUAGUUCUAGUUCUAGUUCUAGUUCUAGCUCUAGCUCGUGAGACUCUGGGUGGGAGACCCUGUGGCAGGAUUGCACCAAGAGACCCCAGUGGGUGACUCUGCAGCUCGAGACCCUGAGGCAGGUGUACCUAAUCUUCUGGCGGAAGUCACCUCAUACUUAGGACAGAGCUCAGGGAAACCUCCGCUACUCUCCCUGGAUGUCACUGUAUGCUGUUGUGAGGUCUGGUGUGGCUUUAGCCUGCUGGCUCCCAGCCCGAGCGAGAAAACCACACAGGAUGGAAGACAAAUCCAGAACCCAGGGCAGCCAGCCCUGAAGCCUGUCCCCUCUUGAGAUACGCAGUGUUUGAGCCAGUCCAUUUCCUUUCUGUUAAAGCCAGUUUGAGAUGGGAGCCAAAACACCCGAAUGAUUCACUUAAUCCCUACUUUAUUUUUAGUAAUCCAUUAGUUUCCCCCAGGGACUGUGGGAGUAAUUGCAAAGCAAGGCAAAAUAAUACCGUUAAAUUAAACUGGCACGGCGUGGUGUUGACUGGCAUCCUCUUUGCUCUCAGCGGGAGCUCUAGUGAGUUAGUAUUCAGGAUGGGAGGAUAAACCUUGAGAUGCGCGCUCUUUCUCUCUUCGUUUUCACCCAGAAGCUUGUGCCUCUUACUCAGCUGUCCACGGAGCCUAGGAAGCGCCUGGGCCCAGGCACCAGCCUUGCUCUCAGAGAAGAUGUGUCUGCAGGCAGCGUGGACCUGUGCUAUCUUCCUAGAACACAUUGUACUCAUGUUUUUAACACUUGUUUUUGAUUUUAAAAAUUAGUAUGAGUGCUUCAGAUAUGAAAACAGUGUGAGGAAGAACAUAAUCCACACCCAUCCAUCUCUCCAGCACAGGAGACGUUUGUCCGUCCAUCAAGCAGUUAAAACCCAUGUUCCCCUCCUCUGCCCCCAGGAAUCACAGCUCCACUUUCGUUUUCUAUUGAGGUGGGUCUCCUGUAUCUGAGGCUGGCCUUGGCCUUGCUGUAUGGUUGAGGCUGGCAUUGAACCCUGGUAUUCCUACCUCUACCUCCCACUGAGAUCACAGCACUGUUCUACCAGGCCUGAUUUGUGUUUGUUUUAACUUCCAAAAAGAAAAG
rnacentral:lncRNA from 1 species